CAGAGUGUUUGCUGCAAAAUGAAGAUGAUGAAGCAACUGGAAUUUGUAUCUGCCAAGAGAGGCUUUGUCUUUACUUGCUUGGUUGCCAUUGGAAACUCUGCCUGACCAUGUGGUAACAUCACCCAUUUCCCAAGGUUCAGAAACCAAUGCGCCUCUGAAGGGAAGCAGAACGUUUCUCUCUUUACACCCUCUGAAAUAUGUGCUCCAGUCAUGAAGCAGAGAAUAUUACAGUGAAGACAGGGAAUUAAAUGA